CCAUGCCGCGUGCANGAUGAAUGCCCUUNUGGGUUGUAAACUGCUUUUCUAGCAAGAAAGACAACCUUAUUACGUGUACUAAGNUGACGGUANUGCAGGAAUAAGCACCGGCUAACUCCGUGCCAGCAGCCGC
rnacentral:rRNA from 1 species